UCCGGCUUAUCACCGGCAGUUUCUUUAGAGUGCCCAACUAAAUGGUAGCAACUAAAGACGAGGGUUGCGCUCGUUGCGGGACUUAACCCAACAUCUCACGACACGAGCUGACGACAGCCAUGCAGCACCUGUGUCCAGGCCCCGUAAGGGGAGGAAUCCAUCUCUGGAAACCGUCCUGGCAUGUCAAACGCUGGUAAGGUGGGGAUGACGUCAGUGCUUGCCU
rnacentral:misc_RNA from 1 species